CCUACGGGAGGCAGCAGUGAGGAAUAUUGGUCAAUGGGCGCGAGCCUGAACCAGCCAAGUAGCGUGAAGGAUGACUGCCCUACGUAUUUUAACCUUCUUUUAUAGAGGAAUAAAGUGAGGCACGUGUGCAUGUUUGUCUGUACUUUAUGGUUACGGAUCGCCUAACUCCGUGCCAGCGGCCGCGGUAAUACGGAGGAGCUGAGCGUUAUCCGGAUUUAGUGGGUUUAAGGGGAGCGUAGAAGGGGUUGUAAGUCAGUUGUGAAAGGUUGGGGCUCAAACGUAAAAUUGCAUUUGAUACUGGUAGGCUUGAGUACAGGAGAGGUAAGUGGAAUUCCUGGUGGAGCGGUGAAAUGCGUAGAAA
rnacentral:rRNA from 1 species